AUGAUUCACCACCGCAGUGUUCACAGCUGGGGAAGCAUUUGUCCCAUUCCUGGUGUAAUUGGUGUGGGCGAGGCUGGGGUCCAAGUGUUGCAGCUGCCUGGAGUUGACUGCCUUGCCUACUUAGCAGUGGCUGUUUUCCAUGGAUAUUUGCAGAAGGUCUGUUCCUUUUUGGAAGAUGGUCUGUACGGAAUGACCAGACACAAGCAGGUGCAUCCAAGAAGGAAGUUUGCCAUGGAAACACAGGAAGUAUCAGAGCCGGGCAACAAGGGAAGCUUUUCUUGUGGUAUCCACACUGGAAGCAGCUCUCUUCCCACCAAAAGCCCUGGAGACAGAAACUUGUAUCUUUGACCAACGGAUGCAGCGGAAGUGAUGCUAUGUUCCUUCCAAGGCUAAGGCCAUAGAAAGGAUACAGCCUCCAUCUGCUUUCUGUCUCAGGACACUUGUCCUUGGAACUCAGCUACUAUGCUCUGAGAAUGCACAAAUUAACUCACAUGGAGAGGCCAACGUAGAGAGGAACUAAGGUCUUCUGUUGACUGUCGCCAUCGUGCACCAGACACGAGUGAAGAAACCUUCAGAUGAUUCCAGCUCCCAGCCUUUGAAUCUUCCACGCUGGAUCAGAGACAAGCUGUCCCCAAGGUGUCCUGUCCGACGUCCUUCCCAGAAUCAGUACUGUCUGCUUUAAUCCUUUCGACAACUCUAAAUUCACAUUUCACUGAUGAGGAAACCGAGGCUCAAGAAAAGAUGAACUUAAAAUUCUGUCACAAAGGCCUUUCUAUUGCCACCAUGCUGUCUCCUAGGUGCAGAGCUUUAAAGGAUUAUGGAGUCUAAACACCAAAUGGGAUGAUGGAGAACAGCUAUCCAGUGGUACAAAUGUAAAUGCUCCCAGGCCGGGCAGGUGAUUUAAGUGAGUGAAGCAGGGCAAAGUGUAAUUGCGUAAGUAGACAUUUGCUGACUCCACAUACCGCUAGGGGACUGUACUUUCUCCUGGCAGAAAGACAGUCCGUUCCAGACUAUUGUUGUGUACAAGAAGGCUAACCCAAAGUGAGGGGAUACUCUAACCUUUCGGGAAAAUCCAGCAGUCUCGAUUUUUACCUAGUGUUUCCAAAAUGCGUUUGUUUUGGCUCAUUUGGUGAGCAGCCUACUCAUCUCCAGUUUGGUACUUUUAAUCUAGUGUAAUCACACAUCUGGUAGUUGUAGAAACCAGGCCCAGAGACGUUGAGCGCCGUGUUGAAAGUCCUGCAGCAAAGGCUAACGCUGUGUCUCAAAGCCAGUUCUCCAUUUUCUUCUCUGGGUUCCCUUCCACUCACAGUGGGUUUCAGCAGGCUUUGUCAGAGGAACCCCAUGGAUUUUUGAGGGGUUUCAUAAUUUAAUGAAACCCUUUAAUUAAAUUAAAUAAUUUAAUUAAGGUCCUCCCCUGACUUUUCCCCUAAGAUAAUUGUUUACUCAAC
rnacentral:lncRNA from 13 species